rnacentral:rRNA from 1 species
UACGAAGGGGGCUAGCGUUGCUCGGAAUUACUGGGCGUAAAGCGCACGUAGGCGGCUUUCUAAGUCGGGGGUGAAAUCCUGGAGCUCAACUCCAGAACUGCCUUCGAUACUGGAGAGCUCGAGUCCGGGAGAGGUGAGUGGAACUGCGAGUGUAGAGGUGAAAUUCGUAGAUAUUCGCAAGAACACCAGUGGCGAAGGCGACUUCCUGGCCCGUUCUUGACGCUGAGGCGCGAAAGCUAGGGGAGCAAACGGG